CGGAUUGAAGGCUGAAAUUCGCCUUCAUGAAGCUGGAAUUGCUAGUAAUGGCAGGUCAGCAUACUGCCGUGAAUACGUUCCCGGGCCUUGUACACACCGCCCGUCACACCAUGAGAGUUGGGAAUACCCGAAGCCUGUGAACUAACAUAUGAGGCAGCAGUCGAAGGUAGAAUCAAUGAUUGGGGUGAAGUCGUAACAAGGUAUC
rnacentral:rRNA from 1 species